AUACGGAGGAUCCGAGCGUUAUCCGGAUUUAUUGGGUUUAAAGGGUGCGCAGGCGGCCAUUUAAGUCAGCGGUUAAAUCGUGGGGCUCAACCCCAUUCUGCCGUUGAUACUGGGUGGCUUGAUUGCGGUCGAGGUUGGCGGAAUUCGUUGUGUAGCGGUGAAAUGCAUAGAUAUGACGAAGAACACCGAUUGCGUAGGCAGCUGACCAGACCGCAAAUGACGCUCAUGCACGAAAGUGCGGGGAUCGAACAGGAUUAGAUACCCUGGUAGUCCGCACAGUAAACGUUGAAUACUUGUUUUCGGCGAUAUAAUGUCGGAGGCAAAGCGAAAGCGAUAAGUAUUCCACCUGGGGAGUACGCCGGCAACGGUGAAACUCAAAUGAAUUGGCGGGG
rnacentral:rRNA from 1 species